GAUGAAGAACGUAGCGAAAUGCGAUAAGUAAUGCGAAUUGCAGAAUCCGUGAGUCAUCGAAUCUUUGAACGCACAUUGCGCCCUCUGGUAUUCCGGAGGGCAUUCCUGUUCGAGCGUCAUUAUCACCCCUCAAGCCCGGCUUGUUGUUGGAUGCAGCGCUUAUCCCGCUCCUCCCAAAGAUAAUGACGGCGUCUGCGACGACUCCUGUACACUGAGCUUUCGGGCACGUACACGGCUAGAAGUCCAGACCCGGUCGCCGUCCCCCCCGCGGGGACACCCAUUACCACAAGGUUGACCUCGGAUCAGGUAGGAAUACCCGCUGAACUUAAGCAUAUCAAUAAGCGGAGGA
rnacentral:misc_RNA from 1 species